rnacentral:tRNA from 1 species
CAAGAAAUAGUUUAAUUAAAAUAUUAAUUUUGGGGAUUAAUGAUAGAAUUGUUUUUCUUUUUUUGA